GACGGACCGCUGUUUCUUUCUUAAACCAGAGGAAGGUUGCGGCAAUAACAGGUCUGUGAUGCCCUUAGAUGUUCCGGGCUGCACACGUGCUACAAUGAUCAGUACAGUGAGCAUCUCAAUUUUAUAACACCGUAUUAAGCGCUUGGGUCGUAAUUGUUAGGCCUUUUGGGUUUUUUCAAUUGCGUUUCUCCAAUGCGCACGGUAAAGCCUGCUUCGAGAGUAAGUGGGUAAUCCAUUGGAAGUAAUGAUUUCCUUAUUUUUAUAAACAGCACACCAAUAUACGGCAUUCAUUCCCGAGACGGCUUAGUUCCGACUUUGUGCGAAUGUAAUGUAUUCUUAUCCGUAUGUGCGAUUGUCAAUUCAUGGUGGGGACAGACCAUUGUUAAUUGUUGGUCUCGGUCUUAACUAGGAAUGCCUUGUACGGGUCUUUGGUUCAACAAACCACCCGGAAUACGUCAA
rnacentral:rRNA from 1 species